UGUGCUCUGCUUUUGCGUAAGCCUAGCCCCACACACUAUUACAGGAACAGACUUGCUGGUUUUGAAUCUGGCCAUACACACUCCUAUUUUCCAAGAAAAAUCUUCUCUAAAAAUUAGAGGCACCUGCGUGUUGCUUAUUGAGUAGGCCUGAAGACUACUUCCAUAGAAGUGAAAUAUAUUGACGUUUUUAAAACUUGAGAACUAUUCAGAGUUGGUCUGGACUCUUUCUGGGUUAAAACAGACAACGGGGCACAUCUGAGGGUUGUUCCCGGUCUGCCCAAGGCCUCAGUGUGGACGGCAGCUUCAUCCCCUCCGGGUAUGACAGACAGAGGCCGGUUUGAAAGGAAACGCACAAUUGCCAGCGUGUCCCUUGUAUGAAUCCCACGGCUGGAAGUUUUUCUGUAAAUCGGCAUCUUCAGGCACCAACAGAAUCCCUAAUACAGCUGAUAUUUGACCAAAAUCACUAUAAUUACCUCACUUCCUGUGGAAAUUAUAAUUAAUGGUCUCUAGUCUCCCAAGAGAUAUUGAAGUUACAAGAUCAAUCAUAGGCUUCCAGCUCCUGCAACUUCAGGUAAAGAUGGACGUGUGAGUUAGUCCUGGCCAAUGAGAUGUGAGUGCAAUUGGUGAG